GGAGUACAGGUGGUGGCAUGGUUGUCGUCAGCUCGUGUCGUGAGAUGUGGUUAGUCCGCAACGAGCGCAACCCUUGUCUUCAGUUACCAUCAUUCAGUUGGGGACGUCUGGAGAGACUGCCGGUGGACAAACCGGAGGAAGGUGGGGAUGACGUCAAAUCAUCAUGCCCCUUAUGACCUGGGCUACACACGUACUACAAUGGCGUAUACAACGGGAAGCGAAAUGGUGACAUGGAGCAAAUCUCACAAAGUACGUCUCAGUUCGGAUUGAAGUCUGCAACUCGACUUCAUGAAGUCGGAAUCGCUAGUAAUCGCGGAUCAGCAUGCCGCGGUGAAUACGUUCUCGGGCCUU
rnacentral:rRNA from 1 species